rfam:Rattus norvegicus chromosome 19, whole genome shotgun sequence.
GGGGAUUUAGCUCAGUGGUAGAGCACUUGCCUAGCAAGCAUAAGGCCCUGGGUUCGGUCCCCAGCUCCG